rnacentral:lncRNA from 1 species
AGCCUGCUAUUAUUCUUAAGAGGCAAGGGAACAUUUUCAAAUGAUAUAAUGGACAUGAUCAAGCAUACAAGUUUAUUCCCCAAAACUUGGCAGGUAGGUUGGUCCUGUAGUUCCUGUCCAACUCUUUCAGCAGGUCCAUAUCCUCUUUGCUUAACUCGAAGUCGAAAACUUCAAAAUUUUCCUUCAGUCUCUCGACCUUUGAUGACUUGGGGAUGACAACAGUGUUUCGUUGGAUGCCCCACCGGAGAGCAAUCUGGGCCACGGUUUUCUUGUAUUUUUCAGCCAGGCCCUGACCGAUAAAAGCAAAUGAGAUGAUAAGACUGAUGAUAAAAAGCACCAACAGAGAACAGUUUUCUCUCAGGUAUUGAUAAUCAGCUGACAGAUAAUCCACCUGAAACAGAAAUGAC